UGAAACCGUUUAGGGGUAAACCUGAGAAACUCGAAAGGUCGAAGGGAGAAAUUCAUUCGCGUUUCGUUGACGGCGUUGAAUGAUAUAUGGCGACGGGAAAUGUGUUCGCAUAUUUUCCGCGCAUUUUGUUCGACGAGCCGAUGACGAACGCGUGCACUUUUCUCCUGGUAGGACGUCGCGAUCCGUUGGGUGUCGAUUUACGGUCCGUGGUGGAGCCCGUCGACGUAGCGUUUCGGCGCUUGUUAACGGACCCACGGUAUCUGAUCGACUCGCUCGACGGUAUAAGAACGGUUAGGGGCCGCUCCUAUGAGCGUCUGACCGAUGGCAAGCGCGCUGGAUCUGUUGGCAAUCGGACCUAGUGCCGAUUCUGACGUCUGGUGUCUGUUGGCUGUCGAGUUCUCGGACAGACCUCUCAAUAAAAAAACCGAUCUGCGACGCUAUAGCUUUGGGUAAUUUCAGGACCCGUCUUGAAACACGGACCAAGGAGUCUAGCAUGUACGCAAGUCAUUGGGAAUCAAUAAACCUAAAGGCGAAAUGAAAGUGAAGAUCUUCCUUGCGGAGAUCGAGGGAAGAGGGGUAUCGUCGACUUGUUGUUGGUGCCUCGCAUUCCCGGGGCGUCUCGUUCUCAUUGCGAGAUGAGGCGCACCAUGAGCGUACACGCUGGGACCCGAAAGAUGGUGAACUAUGCCUGGUCAGGACGAA
rnacentral:rRNA from 1 species